rnacentral:rRNA from 1 species
AACGAACGCUGGCGGCAUGCCUAACACAUGCGAGUCGAACGAGACCUUCGGGUCUAGUGGCGCACGGGUGCGUAACGCGUGGGAACCUGCCCUUAGGUUCGGAAUAACUCCCCGAAAGGGGUGCUAAUACCGGAUAAUGUCUUCGGACCAAAGAUUUAUCGCCUUUGGAUGGGCCCGCGUUGGAUUAGCUAGUUGGUAGGGUAAAAGCCUACCAAGGCGACGAUCCAUAGCUGGUCUGAGAGGAUGAUCAGCCACACUGGGACUGAGACACGGCCCAGACUCCUACGGGAGGCAGCAGUGGGGAAUAUUGGACAAUGGGCGAAAGCCUGAUCCAGCAAUGCCGCGUGAGCGAUGAAGGCCUUAGGGUUGUAAAGCUCUUUUACCCGGGAUGAUAAUGACAGUACCGGGAGAAUAAGCGCCGGCUAACUCCGUG